UUCAGCUAUAAACGAUAAAUCACAAGUUGUAUUACUUUUUGACCUAAUAUUCAGUUUUAUCUUUUUUUUUUGAUUUUGAAUGCCAAAGGGAGAAGCCCUUUUGCACCUACCUUCCAACUCUUCUUCAAUUUCUUCAAUUCGUGCCUGGGCUCCUUAAUCUGCUUUUGCAAUUUAGCCACCAAAGAUUGCUCAUCUUCCAGUUCUGCAAAUAAAUUAUUGCAAAUGAAACACUUCCAUGUACAUAGACAACGAGUACCAUUCAAGUCAGUGACGGCUUCUUGAGUGAGCUUUAAGUCGCCCUCGGCUUUUCGCUUGCCUUUCUCCACAUCGCCUCGUAAUUUCUUUUCUCGCUCGAGAGUGUCUUCCAAUUCGUCCAGUGUCUGUUCCAAUUUGGCUUUCACUUUGUUUAAAUGAUUGACUUUAUCCUCGGCCGCCUGCAUACGAGACGCAGAGUAAAUAGAAAAUUGUCAUAAACAGAACAACAACAUGGAAAUUGUUAUUUUUUGUUCACGAUAUCCAAUUAGUUGGAAACAAUAGGAAAGAGAUAACGGAAUUGGAAUACCUGAAGAUCCUCAGCAGUUUUCUGGUUGACUUCCUGUGUCUGCUUUUUCUCUUUGUUAAGCUUAUUGAUAAGUUCGUCCUGGUGUGCAAUUUCGUCGUUGAGAUUGCGAAUCUGAUGGUCUUUUGUAGCUUUAUGUAAAAAAUAAAUAAUUUGUAAAUGUGUAACUCGUUCCCACUCCUGACUGAGAGUACUCUCUUUUCAAGAGGGUGCAGUGAUUUCCAAACUCGAGCACUACCAUUUUAUACGUACUUACCUUUAUCUCCAUCCGCUACAAAUAAAAAAAUUCCGAUUGUAGAUUUUGAUUAAAAGAGUAAACGAGAGAAUAAUAAAAACCUUUGUUAACGGAUAAUUCCAAAUCUUCAAUCUCCUUCUUGUCCCGCGCCUAGAGAGUCAAGUGCAAAUUCUGCUGAGUAAUCGAUAUAUUUACAAGUGUUCUUAAUAAAUAUCAAUUGAAAUUAACAUAUAACUUAAUUAGUUCAGUGGGUGGUUCAAGUGGCAAUAGUAAUAAUGUCUAAUUUGCAAGAGUUAAGUGAGGAACAGCUUCAUGAAGGAAUCGCGGCUGCUACUCGACAAAUAGGUGCAUACAACAAUGAACUACUUCGGAGAAAGAGAUCGAGUGAAAGUGCAUCGUCAUCGUCUGCCGCACCAUCGCCAAAAACACCACGAACAGAAGAGAGUGACGACAGCGAUACUGAGCCUGAAGAUUAUCAUGUACUUAAAAGUACACCAAUUUAUGUAAGACGGACUGAAGAAUGUGGUCAGAAUUGCGAGCUUUGUCCUCAUGUAUUUCAGGGUGAAAGUUUGCCUAACAUGCUAAAUUCAGAUCGGCCUCUCAACUUUAAGGGGGGGCAGCCUUUUAAUUGCAACUACCCAAGAAAAGGAAUUUAUGCUAUCAUCUGCAUCAACCCAGCUUGUCCUAUGCAAUAUAAAGGUCCGAUUUAUAUUGGAGAAAGCGGAGCAGGAAACGGCUUCCUCUUUAGCAGGAUAAUGAGUCAUAAAGGACAAAUUGAAUCUGAUAAUCCUGAGCAACGGGUGCAUCAACAUUUCACAGGCCAUUGUAAACCAUUUAUGCGUUUCCUAUACCUGAAGGAAAUAAAGGAUACUGAUAAACGAAAGAAAAAAGAACCUCGUUAUAUGCAGAGAUUUGGGACAACUAUUCUUGCCAAUGGAACAAAUGUUAGGAAGGUUAAUCCUCAAAAGGAUUGAAAGCAGUGGGAUAACUCUUCAAACACCGCCCCUUUAAAGAGAGCAGUUGGAGGGUCUAAACCAAAUCUUGGAAAACUGAAGUGGUUCAUCAUCCCUGCUGAAGUCAUGAUGCUCAAUCCCCAGAAACAAGCAACAAUUAAUGAAAUUGUGGAGUACGCAGCUAAAAAGUACCCGAAUUAUUAUGGAUCAUCUUUAAACUACCGAGGAACCAUUAGUGAUUAUUUGAGGGUUUCGUGCUGUGUCCCCAACAGAAAGCUUUCAGACGGCAAUACAGUGGAUUGGUUCGAAUUGGUGGCUAAAGGGUGCACAAAUAAAAAGUCUGCCAUAUAUGGAGUCAAAGACCCCCUCUCAAUUACGAAAGACUUGGAAUCAGGGUUGGUUGCCCUUAAAGAAUGGGAAGAGAAUGCUGCAGCAGAGGAGGAGAAAGCUACUUCGUCCACACGAGCAGACAGGAAUUCAAAAGGAAUUAACGUCGUAGAAGAUAGUUCUGCUGAUGAAUCAAACGAUGAUUAAGAUGCUCAAUAUCAACUGAAUAGCUUAAUAGAAACUUUUUUGAAUAUUUUUCUGUGCACUGAAUGAGACUAUCGUUCAUUUAUUCAAUUAUUUAAAUAUAUUGGCCAAGUUAACCUAAGUAUACAUUGCUACUGUUUUUUAUUAUAUUAGUCAAAUGUUUCUUUUACCUAAGUUCAAGAGUUGUAUGGAUAUUAUUAUAUAUUAAAUCAAGUGUAAAAAAUGCA